CUCUACCACACCCAUCCAUUCAUUCAUACACAAACUCUCGCCACCCAUCCCUGUCCUGAGCAGCCUCUCUCCCCUGCACCACAGUCAUCCCUCUUGCAUUCAGCGCUCUCCUUACACCCUCCGUCCAUCCCAUUCGUGGUCUUCCUCUCAUUCUCACUCCACUCACAUCAGAUUCAUAUACCCUUUUCACCAAACGCUCCCUUUCCAUUCUUUCAACAUGUCCAAACCAUCCCAGUGCCUUUUGCUCUGCUCUAUAGGCCAACUCUCGCAUCAGACCAGUUCUCUCUCGGAUAACUUCAUUUCUCACACGAUCCAUACGCGUCACACCACACAUACUCCUCAAACAUCUCAUCUCAACUACAUUCAGCUUCCUCUUUUCCGCCACCUUCAGACUCUGUUUCAGCCCCAUAUAACACUGCAGGCACCACCACACCCUCAUAGAAUCUCUGUUUCGCAUGCUUUUCCAGUGAUCUACAUUCAAUCACUUUCUUCAUCCCCCCCCAUAUCUUUCGUACUUCGUUCAUUCUAAACUCUACCUCUUCCCCUAUUCCACCAUCCACACAGACACACCACCCCAAAUACUGAAAACACUCUACCUCUUCCAACAACUCCCCAUUUAAUGCCACAUUCAAUCUACGUUCACCCUUUAACCUCGUACACCUCAUCACCUUACUCUUUCCCUUAUUCACCAAUUUACGAUACUAAUAUUAAUAAUAUUAAUAAAUAAUAUUAUGACGUCUGUUGUAAACGAACAGAGCUGGGAGAUAGUAUUCGAAAGGUGCCUUUAUUAUUGUUAUGAUUAUUAUUGAAUUCAUGUUCUCUUAUAGUUCUUUUAAUCUGUGCACCCGUUGCUUUAUUAUUGACAGAACGGACCCGGAAGGGCAACAUUUAGCCGUGCUGACAAAAAUUUCAGCCACGGCUGAACUUAAACUGGAGUAACGAGCGGAUUGUGACAACAUGUCUUUAUAAAAAUGACAAAGAAUAUUGUCAUACACAAUUUAUGGGGGAAAACUCCUUUAGGUUACAAAAGGGAACGUGAAAUGAAAAUACGUAGAGCCCAAGCAGAUGUCAACGCUACGUAGUUUGUCCAAGUGGGGUUACCGUAGUGUGACGUUAUACUCAGUCGAAAGGACCCCGAACGGAAGUUCCAGGCCGAAAGGUUAUGGAACCUACACCGUAUUUUGUGAUUUGUGCAAAGGCGAUACUGCAUUAGGACAUGUAUUGUCUCUGGAUAUUAUAUGUAUCACUUGUUUGAUAAGUGCCUUGCCUAGCAAUUUAUGUGCACAAGAUACUUCAAAAGCACAUAUAUUUGAGAGUUUGCUCUGCACUUAUAUUUUCCCACAAAUGUUUAAAAACAGGUGUGAAGAGUAUUGACAGGUCAACCCAAGUUUGAUUAAGAUAUACAGUAAUAUCCUCAUUGCUUCAUCAAAGGUAAUAAAUACAAUGGCACUUCGGGCAUACAACAAAUUUUGUCAUUUUCAACAGCCAAUUUCUUCCUGAGCAUGUAUCAAGUGGCAGGAAAGUCUUUUGUGAUGUUUUGUAAAACAGUAUCUCAUAUUAUACCAAAAAAAAACCCAUAAGAAACCUUUUAAAAAACUUUAGGAUCGUUUUUGGUAAGAAAUCAAUGAUAACUGCUGCUCUGUUUAGUGUUUUCAGGGAGUGGGUGAAGAAAGUUUAUUUUUUUUAACUUUAUUGUUCAAAAUGUAGGUACAGCCAGGAGAGCAAACAUAUUACAUGCAUUUUACACAAAAACAUUCAGGUUUCCACAACUUUCAUACAAACAUACAGCUUUCUUAAGGCUUUCAGAGAUUUAACUGAGAUACAUUUCAAUUUGUUUGAUUAACACGGGGGGGGGGGGGGGGUAGAAGAUGAAUAGAAUUAGCAUUUAUGAAUAUACAAUUUGCCAAAUAUAAUAAUAACAUUAAUUAUUAGUUUUUAUUUGAGUCCAAGUUUUUAUUAUAAAACCCAAACAUUAUAUAUUCGAAUUUCAGAGUGAAGUUGGGGUGAAUAUGAUUACUGAUAAAUUGUAAACACUUCUUCCCAAAAAAUUCUAAUUUCAGUACAAUUCCAAAAAAGAUGGUUAAUUGCUUUUGGAUGUUCUUUGCAAAAGGGACAGUUAGGAUCAAUUUUUUAAUGUAUCUUAGCAUGAAUUGAUUAGUGGGGUACAUUUUGUGAAUGAUUUUAAAAGAAACUUCUUUCAUUUUUUUAUUUUAUUUAUCAUAGAUUUUUGGGUCACACUCCAGCCCUAUCUCCAAAUGCUGCCGGGAACAAAACGUCUUCAGUAGUUUCGAAGCCGCAAAAUAACACGAGGAGAACGAACAACCGUGACGUCUUACCCGAGCUCCAGUAAAGUGAAAUUUGAUUGGUCACGUUCUGCAAAGCGACCAAUCAGCUGUCGAGUUACAGCGCUCCGCGCCACCAUGACGCAGUCUGUUUGAAAACAAUGGCGGCACGGAGCGUUAGGUCCGAAGAUGAAGACGGACAAAAAGAAUAAAAGUUGACCGUAGGAGACAUGGACACCCUCUAGUAAGCGAGGCCGGCCGCGUCCUCACAGCGAAAAGACCUCAGAGGAUCCGGGAGUUGGCGGCAGUGACCCGGCCGAGCCGAUAAGUUCAGGAAAAUAGUCUUCAUCUGAAGAGAUUGAAACAGAAUCACAGAGGCUGGACGACGUG